UGAGGUAAUUAUCUGACUUGCUAACCCCCUCGAUCCAACUUCUUGAAAUGUAUCUAUUUGCAUUCUCACUAUAAGUUUUCUCUAGUUUGUUUUGAUCAAUUGGCUUUCUCCCCUUUUUGUGAGUUUGAUUAGUUAGGAAUAUGCUUGCCUCUCACUGUGUAUAAUUGAUAAAGGCUGAUAGAUAAAGGCUAUCUACGCCUGUUUCUCUUCAUGACUCCUUUGAUUCUUUGUUGGCUGUUUUAGCCUAUAGUCGUUGGCCAAAGGGUUCUGUCAUCAUAGGACUUACCUCUACAGUACUACUUAUGCUCUGGUCUGGUAGGCUCUCAUUAUAUGCAUGUGGUUUACGUUUUAUUAGUACUAAAGAAGCUCUGUUGCUUAGGCAUUAG
rnacentral:lncRNA from 1 species